rnacentral:rRNA from 1 species
AGAGCGUAGAGUGAAUGCCUUGGCAUUGGGAGCCGACGAAGGACGUGGUUAACUGCGAAAAGCUACGGGGAGUCGUAAGCAGACAUUGAUCCGUAGAUGUCCGAAUGGAGCAAUCCGCAUGGAGUUAGUCUAUGCAUCCAUAAGUGAAUUCAUAGCUUAUGGAGGGGAACCGCCUGAACUGAAACAUCUAAGUAGGGCGAGGAAGAGAAAUCAAACGAGAUUUCGUAAGUAGUGGCGAGCGAACGCGAAAGAGGCUAAACCAAGAGAAGAAAUUCUUUUGGGGUUACGGACUGCGAUAUGUAUCUGAGGACUUAGCAGAAUGGUAUGGGAAAGCCAACCAGAGAAUGUGAUAGUCAUGUAUGCGAAAAGGAAUCAGAGCUAGCAGGAUCCAAAGUACCGCGGGACACGAGGAAUCCCGUGGGAAGUCGGGGGGACCACCCUCCAAGCCUAAAUACUACCCAAUGACCUGUCUCUUAUACACAUCUCCGAGAACGGUGAAAAGAACCCCGGGAGGGGAGUGAAAAGAACCUGAAACUCUGUGCUUACAAGCACAUAGAGCACGUCAAUGUGUGAUAUGGUACCUUUUGUAGAAUGGUCCGGCGAGUUAUGGUAUGCAGCGUGGUUAAGGACUUCAGGUCUGAAGCCGAAGCGAGAGCGAGUCUGACAAGGGCGAAAAGUUGUAUGCCAUAGACCCGAAACCGGGUGACCUAGCCAUGUCCAGGCUGAAGUGGAGGUAAAACUCCAUGGAGGGCCGAACCGACCUCCGUUGAAAAGGCGGCGGAUGAGAUGUGGCUAGCGGAGAAAUUCCAAUCGAACCCGGAUAUAGCUGGUUCUCCCCGAAAUAGCUUUAGGGCUAGCGUUGUAUUAGAUUUCUGGGGGUAAAGCACUGAAUAGGCUAGGGGCCGAGAGGUUACUGAACCUUAUCAAACUAAGAAUACCAGAAAAUUGAUGUACAGCAGUCAGACUAUGUGAGAUAAGUCUCAUAGUCAAAAGGGAAACAGCCCAGACCCACAGCUAAGGUCCCAAAACAGAUUUAAGUGGAAAAGGAUGUGGGAUUGCCCAGACAACCAGGAUGUUGGCUUAGAAGCAGCCACACAUUAAAAGAGUGCGUAAUAGCUCACUGGUCGAGUGACUCUGCGCGGAAAAUGUAACGGGGCUAAGCGUAUAACCGAAGCUUGGGAUUGCCGCAAGGCAGUGGUAGGGGAGCGUUCUGUACGGGGCGAAGUCGCAGCGGAAGCAGCGGUGGACUGUACAGAAGUGAGAAUGCCGGAAUGAGUAGCGAGAAUUAUGUGGGAAUCAUAAUGGCCGAAAAUCUAAGGUUUCUUGGGGAAGGUUCGUCCGCCCAAGGUAAGCCGGGAGCUAAGGCGAGGCCGCAAGGCGUAGUCGAUGCACAUACGGUAGAAAUUCCGUAGCCACCGAACUUUAAACCAGAAGGACACUUGCAGAUAGCGGAACCCAGCCGUUGGUUGAGCUGGGCGUAAGGGACUGAAAUAUAGUAGGGAAGUCCGCGAUGCUGUGAGGCGAGAAAAGCUCUGGUGUAUACUAAGGUGCCCGUACCGCAAACCGACACAGGUAGAUGAGGAGAGAAUCCUAAGGCCAACGGGAGAAGGGUUGUUAAGGAACUCGGCAAAUUGACCCCGUAACUUCGGGAGAAGGGGUGCUCCAGAGAUGGAGCCGCAGAGAAUCGGCCCAAGCAACUGUUUACCAAAAACACAGGUUUGUGCUAAAUCGAAAGAUGACGUAUACGAGCUGACGCCUGCCCGGUGCUGGAAGGUUAAGAGGAGAUGUGCAAGCAUUGAAUCGAAGCCCCAGUGAACGGCGGCCGUAACUAUAACGGUCCUAAGGUAGCGAAAUUCCUUGUCAGGUAAGUUCUGACCCGCACGAAUGGCGUAAUGACUUGGGCACUGUCUCAACUGCAAAUCCGGCGAAGUUGUAGUGCGAGUGAAGAUGCUCGCUACCCGCGAUUGGACGGAAAGACCCCGUAGAGCUUUACUGUAGCUUAGCAUUGAAUUCCGGUAUUGUCUGUACAGGAUAGGUGGGAGACUGGGAAACUAGGGCGUCAGCCUUAGUGGAGUCAUCCUUGGGAUACCACCCUGACAGUACUGGGGUUCUAACAGGACGCCAUGAAUCUGGUGACUGGACAUUGUUAGGUGGGCAGUUUGACUGGGGCGGUCGCCUCCUAAAAAGUAACGGAGGCGCCCAAAGGUUCCCUCAGAACGGUCGGAAAUCGUUCGUAGAGUGCAAAGGCAGAAGGGAGCCUGACUGCGAGACCUACAAGUCGAGCAGGGACGAAAGUCGGGCUUAGUGAUCCGGUGGUACCUCGUGGGAGGGCCAUCGCUCAACGGAUAAAAGCUACCUCGGGGAUAACAGGCUGAUCUCCCCCAAGAGUCCACAUCGACGGGGAGGUUUGGCA